GUUAAAUAAGGAGGGUUUACUUAGGGGUUUAAGUUUAUGCAUAUUGAUGUUACAUGCAAGGUUUUAGAUUGCAAUGUUGAUUCCAAGUUCUGCAUCAUUCACACCUCCACCUUUAAGGCCUUCUUAGUUUAGCCCAAGAUGUCUUUCUUUAUGGAUCAAUCCUUUACAUAAACUUGAAAGUCUUUCUUGACUUUAUUGGCGAAUGAUCUUGUCCUUGCUCCAGUUGACAUAGUGGUACUCCAUUCAUAUAGCCAUUUGCACCUUAAACUGGAUCCAUCCUAGACUUCUCUUUAUGUGGACUUUGCUCAAGUUGAAUUCAAUUUUGAUUUCCACUUAUUUGGACCUUGCCAACGUUUAUCAUUCAUGAGGCUUAAGCAGUGACCCCUUAAGCUCAUGAGGUCAUGAGCUCCAUCUUGAGUUGUGUCUUGCUCUCCACUAAUGUGGUUGAGACCUUUUAAACUCACAUAGGGUAACAAUUAUCUGUGUGCUACCAUAUAUCUUUCUCUAAUAAAAUCUUUUGCUCUUAUGAUUUGUUCACUG
rnacentral:lncRNA from 1 species